CCUANGGGAGGCAGCAGUAAGGAAUAUUGGACAAUGGGCGCAAGCCUGAUCCAGCCAUGCCGCGUGCAGGAUGAAGGUGCUCUGCAUUGUAAACUGCUUUUGUUUGGGAAUAAACCCCUCUACGUGUAGAGGGCUGAAUGUACCAAAAGAAUAAGGGACGGCUAACUUCGUGCCAGCAGCCGCGGUAAUACGAAGGUCCCAAGCGUUAUCCGGAUUUAUUGGGUUUAAAGGGUGCGUAGGCGGGUUAUUAAGUCAGUGGUGAAAGCCUUCAGCUUAACUGAAGAAUUGCCAUUGAUACUGAUGAUCUUGAGUAUGAUUGAGGUGGGCGGAAUGUGUCAUGUAGCGGUGAAAUGCUUAGAUAUGACACAGAACACCGAUUGCGAAGGCAGCUCACUAAGCCAUAACUGACGCUGAUGCACGAAAGCGUGGGGAGCAAACAGGAUUAGAUACCCGGNUANUC
rnacentral:rRNA from 1 species